rnacentral:rRNA from 1 species
GACGAACGCUGGCGGCGUGCUUAACACAUGCAAGUCGAGCGGUAAGGCCCUUUCGGGGGUACACGAGCGGCGAACGGGUGAGUAACACGUGGGUGACCUGCCCUCAGCUCUGGGAUAAGCCUGGGAAACCGGGUCUAAUACUGGAUAUGACUCCAUGACGCAUGUUGUGGGGUGGAAAGCCUUGUGCGGCUGAGGAUGGGCCCGCGGCCUAUCAGCUUGUUGGUGGGGNGAUGGCCUACCAAGGCGACGACGGGUAGCCGGCCUGAGAGGGCGACCGGCCACACUGGGACUGAGACACGGCCCAGACUCCUACGGGAGGCAGCAGUGGGGAAUCUUGCGCAAUGGGCGAAAGCCUGACGCGGCGACGCCGCGUGAGGGAUGACGGCCUCGGUGUAAC